rnacentral:rRNA from 1 species
GAAACGGUAGCUAAUACCGCAUAACGUCGCAAGACCAAAGAGGGGGACCUUCUGGCCUCUUGCCAUCAGAUGUGCCCAGAUGGGAUUAGCUAGUAGGUGGGGUAACGGCUCACCUAGGCGACAAUCCCUAGCUGGGCUGAGAGGAUGACCAGCCACACUGGAACUGAGACACGGUCCACACUCCUACGGGAGGCAGCAGUGGGGAAUAUUGCACAAUGGGCGCAAGCCUGAUGCAGCCAUGCCGCGUGUAUGAAAAAGGCCUUCGGGUUGUAAAGUACUUUCUGCGGGGAGGAAGGUGUUGUGGUUAAUAACCCCAUCAAUUGACGUUACCCG